rnacentral:rRNA from 1 species
AUUGAACGCUGGCGGCAUGCUUUACACAUGCAAGUCGAACGGGAGAGGGGGCAACCCCUUGAGAGUGGCGAACGGGUGAGUAAUGCAUCGGAACGUGCCCAGUCGUGGGGGAUAACGCAGCGAAAGCUGUGCUAAUACCGCAUACGAUCUCUGGAUGAAAGCGGGGGACCGAAAGGCCUCGCGCGAUUGGAGCGGCCGAUGUCAGAUUAGGUAGUUGGUGGGGUAAAGGCUCACCAAGCCAACGAUCUGUAGCUGGUCUGAGAGGACGACCAGCCAAACUGGGACUGAGACACGGCCCAGACUCCUACGGGAGGCAGCAGUGGGGAAUUUUGGACAAUGGGCGCAAGCCUGAUCCAGCAAUGCCGCGUGCAGGAAGAAGGCCUUCGGGUUGUAAACUGCUUUUGUACGGAACGAAAAGGUCUGGGUUAAUACCCUGGGCACAUGACGGUACCGUAAGAAUAAGCACCGGCUAACUACGUGCCAGCCGCCGCGGUAA